AAGUCGUAACAAGGUCUCCGUAGGUGAACCUGCGGAGGGAUCAUUAACACGAAUACACUUGUUUGGGUUCGCUCAUUCAAGUCGUUUUCAACCAAAACCAAAACCGUGAACUCGAAAAUGGCAUUUUUGUGCUCUUUUCAUUCCGCCCCAUUUUAUAUUACGUUAACAAAGAUGGUAUGAUCGAUUGCGUGUUUAUAACUAUCAAUUAUAUGUGAUGGUAUAAGAUUUAUUUCUUAUACUUAUUGAUAACCAUAAACUGAUUAUAUCAUUUCGUUUUAUAAAUGGACCCUAUUUUUUUCGCAUCACGAAAUAAACAUAACCAACCUAUUUCACACUAACCAUAUAAACAUUGACUGAUUUUAUUUGUUUUACAAAUAAAAACUCGAUAUCAUCGAAAACUAAAAGCACAACUCUUAGCAACGGAUAUCUUGGUUCUC
rnacentral:misc_RNA from 1 species